GGGACGGGAGAAAAGACCGCAUCUCCCCACUCCUCCCACGCCCUGUGCACCCAAUCCCCUCCUCCUCCUCCCUCACGAACCCUAGCCGCCUCCAUGUUCGCUUCCUCCUCCUCCUCCUCCUCCAUCCUCCCGCGCCAGUCGCGCCCUCCCUCUCCUGCAUCUCUUCCACCCCGAGAUCCGAGGUGUGCAGGCGCGGAGGCGCGCUUCCCUGGCGGCAGCGGCAACCUACAGGCAAAGGGCGACGGCGGACCAAAGGGCGACAGCGGCGACCUCGGUUCGAUCUGUGGGAGAGAGAAUAUGAGAGGGAGAAGAAGAAAGGAGAGGAUGGAGAAAGAGAGAGGAAAUAGGAGAAGGAGGCGACGUCGAAUGGGAGAGGGUCAGUGCGGUGGCGCAGCGGACGGCGGCUCGUGCUGUGGUGCGGCGCCGUCGUCCACGUGCUCCUCCUGAAGCUCCUCCUCUCCACCACGGGUGGAUGCCUGGUGAGGCCAGCGUCCCCUCCACACUCAGGUGCUCCCCCGCUUCCCUGUGUCCCCUUUGUCUCUUCCCCUGACCCUCUCUUUCUGUCACACAUGGAGAGAACCGUGGUGGCAGCACAUCAGAUUUUGCUACGAAAUACAACUUAGUUCUGAAAAUAAGAAACAAAGCUGAUUAAAUCCCCUAUGCAUCUGUUGUUUGUUUGCUGAUUUACUGGGUAGAUCUUGAACUGGACGACACAAAGGAGGUGGCAUUAGUAGUCAUGGAGAUCCUCGUGUUCUGAACAUCAAUUAGUUCCAUGGGGCUAAAUGAUACUGUAAUCUGGCUUUCGUGGCCUAUAUAUAGUAUUUAGUAAAUAAGUCUGUUCCAUAUCCCAUUAAUAUGAAUGCAGCUCGUCAAACUGUUCCCAUUGGUCGUCUAUUUGAUCUUAUUAUUUAGGUAUUAUAGGAAAGUAAGUAUGUACUCCAUUGAGCAAGCUCUUUCUAUCUAUGUGAUUUAUUUUUCUGUGGUUGAUGAAUACAGUAGGAGCCUGGAUCUUUUAACCACAGAGAUGGUGCAUAAAUAAGAAAAACAAUAAGUGCACUAAUGCUUUUUUGGAAUUCCAUUGGUUUUCUGGAAAUUUUGGUGAAAGCAAGAUUUAAGACAGAGAGGUUCAUGUGCUAGGCCAUCGACACACCUCUCUUCAAGGUAAGGUCAGUUCUAAGGUGAGCUCAUCCUAUUUUCUUUCUUCAAUCUCAGGCGAAGAUUCAUCUCUCUAACCUACUACCUCUCUAUAGAAUUUAGAAAUCCGAAAGUUAGAAGAUGUAGGCAGAAUUAGUCAUGCAUUCAAAAGUUAGGGAUUUCAUGCUACAUGCAAAAUGUUUUCUAUUGGGCAGCAACACAUAACAUGUGGCGCUUUAGGGCUGCUUCCUACUAGUUAUCGACAUAAAAUUUAUAAUUUUGUGAUGCCUAGCCUUUUACUGUUGGAAGGAGGAUAUUCAAUGUGGUUCUUUGCCCCCAUUUUUUAUCUAUAUGCAUUGCGUAAAAGUUCUUUGUGUUUUGUUGAUGGAAUAUUGAUACUCAGCUGUGUGCCAAUUUAUAACUAAUCAUAAAAGGGAGAAGAAUAAACUCAAGCACAUUGGAUAAAUGCAACUUGCAGAAAUUUAAUGUUCUCUUCUCCUUUGUAGGUCCCGAGUCGGUUAAUGUUGAUUUUGCUCAUGCACAACCCAUCAUAGGAGUCAGUAGGAUCAUCUUCAAUGGGUGUAUGGACUGCAAUAGCUUUUUUUUGUCCUCAUCAGUUAUCCGGUUUAAGGUGUGGUGGAUGGCGCACAAGAUGAAGGACAAGGGCGGCAGCAGCCCACAUGAGACACAACUCCUGCUGGUGGAGUGAAGGCCCCGGGGCCUGCAGCGACGAGGAGGAAGACACGUCGUAGCUGGAUGGUGAGAAUGCUGAUGUUGUGGUUACUGGAGAUGAGAACGUGCAGCCUGACCAAACCAAGCCUAAGAGCUGUGUCCCUCACCUCCUGUUGAGCAUGUUUUGGUUGCACUGGUUAGUUGUUAAAGGCUUAGCAGUACCAACCAUGGCGCUGGUGCCGCGGACUCCCCGCUGUGCGCCGUCUCACCGCUCGUCCCUUCUGGCUACACCUCCCCAUGUCAUGCUGCAGUUUAUCCCUUGUCGAAGUUCUUCUGUGAUUCAUCUCAUACGCAUCGUUGGCUGUUCUCUUUCGGCUUUUCAAGGUUUCAUCUUCCUCCUUGAAGCUUACUUUCUUAUGUUCAUUUGAUAUUUUGUCUUUAUUCAGUUCUAACUGUGUGUGUCCCGUGUGUUGUGCCUUUUCUUACCUAUUAUUGGUUCAUCUCAAUUAUUAUUUCUAUUCGUUGUUGCUUGCUGCCUGCGUACUUUCUGUGUUGGUUGUUGUUGUCUCAUUGUUUCAUAUGGCCGGCAUCUGUGGCAUAAUAUCUUUUGUCAGGCCGAUUCUAGAAACAGUGGCUGCACACUGUGGUUUGCCUCCUCCUAGCCACCUAUGUGAGGUUGAUGGGAUGGGCAUCUCCUUGCUGGAUUAGAAAUUGAAAUUCCUGGGGAUGGUGUCUUGCUAAUGCCGCAGAGGAAAAAAAAUUGGGCCUCUGGUGGUCAGGGUUCUACGUCAGGGCUUUUGACACUCAUGGAACUAUGUCAAGCCACUGUCGAUACUAUCCCUUUAUUUAGCUUUCUUAAUGAAUCAACUGUUAUGUGUUGUAAAUAUCACAAUUGGACCACCGUUGGCCCUUCCUGCCUUCCCUAGCUACUUAUGACAAUUUCUACUCGUUGUAAAUACCACUGGAUUAUGCUCCUUAAUCUAGCUCUUGCCAUCGUCACCGUAUUGUCUAUGUCUUAUUAUGUUUUUUGUAAGUUGUUGGUCCAUUGGAUUGACUGAGCUAUGAGCCUUUUUCUUUCGCUGGCCUACUUCCCAAGGCAUAUGUUGUGUUGUUCCUAUGCAAAUUCAUUGUAUUAGAUUUUUUGUAUGUCAGUUUCUUUCCAUUUUUACCUGGCUGAUUCUUGCACUGCUACAUAGCAGCUGUUAUGUAUGAUGCAAAUGCAAGGUAAACAAAACUGGGUGUUUUCUUGUGCUCUUCUUUCAGUUCAAAUAGGAAUUAGAAAUUGAGGGUAUACCUCAAUAUUAAGUACAAAUACAAUACAUUCUUUUCGCACAUUCCCUAUUGUCAUUGUGGUUGUCUUCACAAUAUUCGUUUGCGAUUUGGAUGUCUUUGGCCAGUUUCUUAUUGAAAAAAGAAUCAAAUAGGAAAUCAUCUACUAAUUGUUAUUUUUCUGAUCUUAGUUAAGUUCCAUGUGAAGUAGAAACUUCAUGUCUUUGAGAAUAACAUGCUUCAGCCAGGCGGGUUGUCCAGUGUUUGACUUUUUCCUUGGUUUGAUGAUUAUGAUGUAGCUAAUCGGGAAGAUACCUCACGUCGGUAUGUAUUAGUUGUGACUUGACUGGCUUCAGUCCAGUAGAGAACACAACUAAUUUGCACCUCCUGAAAUAUAAUUACUAUUUAUGAUUUUGAUAUGUAGUAGCUUUGAUUUGGCUGAUUUCAAGUCAGGAACAUGAGUAGGCUGAUGUAUUAUCCAUGACCGUGGGAAGGCGGUAUUUUCUGUUAUAAAAUUAGUGUACUGGUAAAAAAAUAUUAGUCAUAAAAUGAUUUAUUGAGCAAUUACCUGAGAAGUGCAGUGGGGACUGCGCUCCGGUCGCGGCGGAGUGCAGCCGCGGGGAAGACAACAUUUUCCUAUUCGUAGGAGCUUCAGUGAGGUUGCUCACCAAUGAGCUGGAAGGUUUUUUGUUCUGGGUACCAGCAGCUCACUUUGUUACCACAACACCAUUUCAUAUUUAAAUUUAAUACUCCCUCCCUUCUUUAAAAGAAGGCAUGUCAGUUUUGGUCAAAGUCAAACAAUGUAAAGUUUGGCCAAGUUAAUCCAACAAACUUGUAGGUCUUCUUUCCUAGCAUGGAGGGAGUACUUAGUUUCAUUACUGCAUCCACAGUUUAUUUUUGCUUCUACUUCUACUUCUACUUCUACUGUAUUUCUGUACUUAAAUUUAAAUUAUUUCUGCACCUACUUAAUUUCUACUUCUACUUUUUUCCUGCACCUACAGUUGCAGUGCUUAAUUUAUCUGCUCAUGGAGCUAUGACUCUGUUGCAGUGGGCUAAGGUUGACCGCUUUCAGGGGUAUGUCAAGGUGUAGGUGCAGACUCAUUGUUGAUGUUGAAUACUGGAGUAAGAAUGAUGAUCAAUGCUCUGACCGUGCCGCUGGAGAUAAUGGUGCGAGCUCGACCAGUUCAUGGUUAGGACACACAAGCCGCCUAUAUCUUUCUCUCUGUGUCUCCUUCUGUUGCUGUUUGGAACUUGGUGGGCUGGUGGCUGCGUCGGAUUAAUCAAGGGAUUCUGUUUAGCUUAGUUUCAUUACCGGAAAGCCUAAGAGCGGCGUUCUUUAUUGUCUGGUUAAAUCAAUCCCUGCCUCCCGCUGGUCGCCAGCUCCGAUGCUUCGCCGAGUGGAGAACCAGGAAGGAGGGGCGUGAAGGGGAGAAGGGGGUGUGGCGGAGAAGGAGCCACUUUCAUAUCUAUGUUGUCUUAUUAGGAAAAUAGGGUUUGUUUUAUAGCUGAUGCUUAAUAUGUUCUAUCGAUUGGUGAAUGCUGAACUUUAGCUCAUAAACUGGAUGGCAAAUGCUAAAUCUGAUGGGGCUUUUGCCACUUAUUGUUUUAUGGUUGUCUAGACAGCUGAUGGCAUGCUUCUUUCUUGCUAAUUGUCAAUUCUUCU